AUUGAACGCUGGCGGCAGGCCUAACACAUGCAAGUCGAGCGGAGCGGCGGACGGGUGCGUAAUGCCUAGGAAUCUGCCUGGUAGUGGGGGAUAACGUCCGGAAACGGGCGCUAAUACCGCAUACUAUCAGAUGAGCCUAGGUCGGAUUAGCAAGUAGGUGGGGGAAAGGCCUACCACGGCGACGAUCCGUAACUGGUCUGAGAGGAUGAGCAGUCACACUGGAACUGAGCGACGGUCCGGACUCGUACGUGAGGCAGAAGUGGGGAAUAUUGGACAAGGGGCGAAAGCCUGAUGCAGCAAUGCCGCGUGUGUGAAGAAGGUCUUCGGAUUGUAAAGCACUUUAAGUUGGGAGGCGUUACCAACAGAAUAAGCACCGGCUAACUUCGUGCCAGCAGCCGCGGUAAUAC
rnacentral:rRNA from 1 species